rnacentral:rRNA from 1 species
UUAUACAGUGAAACUGCGAAUGGCUCAUUAAAUCAGUUAUCGUUUAUUUGAUAGUACUCUUACUACUUGGUAUAACCGUGGUAAUUCUAGAGCUAAUACAUGCUAAAAAACCCCCGACUGUUUGGGAGGGGUGUAUUUAUUAGAUAAAAAAUCAAUGCUCUUCUGAGCUCUUUGAUGAUUCAUAAUAACUUUUCGAAUCGCAUGACUUCGUGUCGGCGAUGGUUCAUUCAAAUUUCUGCCCUAUCAACUUUCGAUGGUAGGAUAGUGGCCUACCAUGGUUUCAACGGGUAACGGGGAAUAAGGGUUCGAUUCCGGAGAGGGAGCCUGAGAAACGGCUACCACAUCCAAGGAAGGCAGCAGGCGCGCAAAUUACCCAAUCCUAAUUCAGGGAGGUAGUGACAAUAAAUAACGAUACAGGGCCCAUUCGGGUCUUGUAAUUGGAAUGAGUACAAUGUAAAUACCUUAACGAGGAACAAUUGGAGGGCAAGUCUGGUGCCAGCAGCCGCGGUAAUUCCAGCUCCAAUAGCGUAUAUUAAAGUUGUUGCAGUUAAAAAGCUCGUAGUUGAACUUUGGGCUUGGUCAGUCGGUCCGCUUUUUUGCGUGUACUGAUCCUGACCGAGCCUUUCCUUCUGGCUACCCUGUCCUUCGGGGCAGGUGAACCAGGACUUUUACUUUGAAAAAAUUAGAGUGUUCAAAGCAGGCCUUUGCUCGAAUAUAUUAGCAUGGAAUAAUAGAAUAGGACGUUUGGUUCUAUUUUGUUGGUUUCUAGGACCAUCGUAAUGAUUAAUAGGGACGGUCGGGGGCAUCAGUAUUCAAUUGUCAGAGGUGAAAUUCUUGGAUUUAUUGAAGACUAACUACUGCGAAAGCAUUUGCCAAGGACGUUUUCAUUAAUCAAGAACGAAAGUUAGGGGAUCGAAGAUGAUCAGAUACCGUCGUAGUCUUAACCAUAAACUAUGCCGACUAGGGAUCGGGUGGUGUUUUUUUAAUGACCCACUCGGCACCUUACGAGAAAUCAAAGUCU